rnacentral:lncRNA from 1 species
GAACGAAAAAUGGUGGGACAGUUGUUCUCUCUAUCAGACUGACAGAGAAAAAUAGGGAAAAUUUAGGACUAAGACUCUCAGCAAGACUUCGGACACUGGAAGGAACCAAAAUCUUCUGAAAUUACCUGUGAGAAGAAGGAUAAUGUCCAUACACCAUUCAGCAGCCCUGUAGGCUGCAUGGUACCCCAGCUCAACACUUCGUGGUGCAGUUUCACCCUCACUUGAAAGAAGUAUCACAGAUCCUUGAAAUACCCAUGAGAAACUUUCCAAACGUAAAAAAUUAUAAACAGCUUCAAC